rnacentral:ncRNA from 1 species
AAAAUUUUAUUUUAGUUAAUAAUUUAUUAAAUUUUUAUUUUACAUGUAAAUUAUAGUAUGGAUAUAAAUAUUCUUAAAGAAAAAAUUUUUUAUUCGCAGUAUUUAAAAUUAAAAAUAAAAGAAAUUUUGAUUUAGUAAAAAAUAUAAAUAUAAAAAAAAUUUGUGCCAGCAUUUGCGGUUAUACAAAUUAUAUAAAUAAAUUAAUUUAGUUUUAGUUAAUAUAUUAAAUUAAGUUAAUUAAAAUAAUUUAUUUUUAGGUUAAAUUUAAAAUAAAUUUAUUUUUAAAAAAAAAGUUAUGAAAUCUAAAAAAUUUUAUUAAUAAACUAGGAUUAGAUACCCUAUUAUAAAAAAAAUAUAAUAAAAAUGCUUAAGUAGUAAUAGAUAAGGUCUUGAAACUUAAAAAAUUUGGCGGUAUUUUAGUCUAUUUAGAGGAACCUGUUUUAUAAUUGAUAAUCCACAAUAAAUUUUACUAAAUUUAUAAAAUUUGUAUAUCGUCGUUAACAGAUUAUUUUAAAAGAAGAAUAUUUAAAAAUUUAAAUUAAAAUAUAUUUCAGAUCAAGAUGCAGUAAAUAAUUUAGAAAAAAUGGGUUACAAUAAAUAAAUUUAUAUGAAUAGAUAAUUGAAAUAUUAUUUUGAAAGUGGAUUUAAAAGUAAAAUUAAUAAAAUAAUUAAUUUGAUUUUAGCUCUAAAAUAUGUACAUAUCGCCCGUCGCUCUUUUUAUUAAGAAAAGAUAAGUCGUAACAUAGUAGAUGUACUGGAAAGUGUAUCUAGAAUGAA